rnacentral:rRNA from 1 species
GAUGAACGCUAGCGGCAGGCCUAACACAUGCAAGUCGAGGGGUAGGGUUAGCUUGCUAACUUGAGACCGGCGCACGGGUGCGUAACGCGUAUGCAAUCUACCUUGUACAGAGGGAUAGCCCAGAGAAAUUUGGAUUAAUACCUCAUAGUAUCUUUACCUGGCAUCGGGUAAUUAUUAAAGUUCCAACGGUACAAGAUGAGCAUGCGUCCCAUUAGUUAGUUGGUAAGGUAACGGCUUACCAAGACAAUGAUGGGUAGGGGUCCUGAGAGGGAGAUCCCCCCACACUGGUACUGAGACACGGCCCAGACUCCUACGGGAGGCAGCAGUAGGGAAUAUUGGACAAUGGGCGGAAGCCUGAUCCAGCCAUCCCGCGUGCAGGAAUAAGGCCCUAUGGGGUUGUAAAACUGCUUUUUAAUAGGGGAAGAAAAAGCCCCCGUUUAGGGGUGUUGACGGUACCUAAAGAAUAAGCACCGGCUAACUCCGUG